AAAUGUUUUCUUCAGACUUGUUUAACUGCUGCGUAUAUACAUUCACCCUGCGAGAAGAGGAAAACAACAUUCAAUUUCAGUAGGGCAAUUGUAGCUCUAAGGCACAGUUAUCCAGAGACCUCACUGGCAGAGGCUGAUGAAGAGGUGAAUUAGGGACAAGAGAACACACAGCACAAAGGACUUCUGGAAUUUCAUCAGAGUUCUCUCCCCAGACGACAUGACUGGAACAUCAACUCUCUGAUGCUGUUGGGAAAUAAUCAGUAUUUAUGAAGUUGGCAGUACAUGCCACACUGGAUGCACCCACAUGCCCUGAAUCUUAUGGCUUUGUUAUGGAAGCAAAAGAAGUCAGCAUGAUCUCCAUUACCAACUGUCCGCCUCUUAAAGGAUAAAGUCUUCCCUUGGAUCACCAGAGCUCCCCAUCUCACUAAGUUUACGCUAAGGGAUGGUGAGGCAGGAUUUGGAAUCUUCCAGAAGUUCAUUCAGUG